AGAGUUUGAUCAUGGCUCAGAACGAACGCUGGCGGCAGGCCUAACACAUGCAAGUCGCACGCCCUUCUUCGGAAGGGAGUGGCGCACGGGUGAGUAACGCGUGGGAACGUGCCCUGGGGCUGGGGAUAACGGCGGGAAACUGCCGCUAAUACCCGGUACGCCUUGAGAGGGAAAGGAGCAAUCCGCCCUGGGAGCGGCCCGCGUUGGAUUAGCUAGUUGGUGGGGUAACGGCCUAUCAAGGCAACGAUCCAUAGCUGGUCUGAGAGGAUGAUCAGCCACACUGGGACUGAGACACGGCCCAGACUCCUACGGGAGGCAGCAGUGGGGAAUAUUGGACAAUGGGCGCAAGCCUGAUCCAGCCAUGCCGCGUGAGUGAAGAAGGCCUUAGGGUUGUAAAGCUCUUUCGCACGCGACGAUGAUGACGGUAGCGUGAGAAGAAGCCCCGGCUAACUUCGUGCCAGCAGCCGCGGUAAUACGAAGGGGGCAAGCGUUGUUCGGAAUUACUGGGCGUAAAGGGCGCGUAGGCGGAUCUGUGCGUCAGAGGUGAAAGCCCUGGGCUCAACCCGGGAAUGGCCUUUGAAACGGCGGGUCUUGAGUGAGGGAGAGGAGUGCGGAAUACCCAGUGUAGAGGUGAAAUUCGUAGAUAUUGGGUAGAACACCGGUGGCGAAGGCGGCACUCUGGCCCUUAACUGACGCUGAGGCGCGAAAGCGUGGGGAGCAAACAGAAUUAGAUACCCUGGUAGUCCACGCUGUAAACGAU
rnacentral:rRNA from 1 species